GACGAACGCUGGCGGCGUGCUUAACACAUGCAAGUCGAACGGUAAGGCCCUUCGGGGUACACGAGUGGCGAACGGGUGAGUAACACGUGGGUGAUCUGCCCUGCACUUCGGGAUAAGCCUGGGAAACUGGGUCUAAUACCGGAUAGGACCCUGGGAUGCAUGUCCUGGGGUGGAAAGCUUUUGCGGUGUGGGAUGGGCCCGCGGCCUAUAAGCUUGUUGGUGGGGUGAUGGCCUACCAAGGCGACGACGGGUAGCCGGCGUGAGAGGGUGACCGGCCACACUGGGACUGAGAUACGGGCCAGACUCCUACGGGAGGCAGCAGUGGGGAGUAUUGCGCAAUGGGCGCAAGCCUGAUGCAGCGACGCCGCGUGAGGGAUGACGGCCUUCGGGUUGUAAACCUCUUUCAGUACCGACGAAGCGCAAGUGACGGUAGGUGCAGAAGAAGGACCGGCCAACUACGUGCCAGCCGCCGCGGUAA
rnacentral:rRNA from 1 species